rnacentral:rRNA from 1 species
UACGUAGGGUCCGAGCGUUGUCCGGAAUUACUGGGCGUAAAGAGCUCGUAGGUGGUUUGUCUCGUUGUCCGUGAAAUCCCACAACUCAAUUGUGGGUCUGCGGGCGAUACGGGCAGACUGGAGUACUGCAGGGGAGACUGGAAUUCCUGGUGUAGCGGUGGAAUGCGCAGAUAUCAGGAGGAACACCGGUGGCGAAGGCGGGUCUCUGGGCAGUAACUGACGCUGAGGAGCGAAAGCGUGGGGAGCGAACAGG